CGAGUCAUAACUCAGCGGUAGAGUACUAUUCUGAUAAGAUAGAGGUCCCAUGUUCGAAUCGUGGUGGCUCGA
rnacentral:tRNA from 1 species